GGCUAGAGGGUGGACCUAGAACAAUUGCAAAUGUAUGAAAACCUAAUGAAAACAAAACCAAAUCAACUUCUUCUCCUCUUCCUCUCUAUCUCCGGAUCCAUAGAAAAAAAUCCUUCAAUUGAAAACAAAUUGUUGAUUAAAAUUUAUUAAAGUCCAACCGGUCGUCGAUUGUCGAUCAAUUGAAAACAGAUGGUGGAUUAAAAUUUAUGUUAAAGAUGGGGAAGAAGAAGAUCCAUAAAAAAUGCAGUGACUCCAAUCAACAACAUCCUCCAAUCAUUAAAGAAAGUCCAACCGAUCAAGAUCAAGAAUUUCAAACUCUUCGAGGAUGAAUCGUUGGCACGGUUUUGGGGAGAGCAUUCUUCUGGGCAAUUACGAAGUGCAUAGAUAGAAGCACCCAUUGAUGCCCUACAUCUUGGUUGUAGGCCUAGUUUUGGAUGACCAGAGGCAAGUAAUUCAUUUAAUUUUAUGCGGAUACUUUGCAGCUUAGUCUCUCAAAAUAAUUUUUUAUUUAUGUAAUUGUUUUUAGAAGUUGUGUACAGGGACCAUUCUUUUGUCUGAUUACUAAGUUGAGUACAAGGACCAUUCUUUUGGUUAAAGACCAUUCUUUUGGCUGAUUACGGGAGGACUCAUGACAUUAACACCAAGAGUCUCGUGGCAUUCACUCUAUAUUGACUUGUACUGGAGGUUUGAAGCUAACAUGUACCACAAAAGGGUGGCAAUGGCAUGCUGGAAUAGUAGGACCUUUCCUUCCGAAAUGAUUAGCAUCCAACCGCCCAUCGAGUUAUUCUUAACCUAAUAUACAACAACUUAAGCACCAGAACUACCAACUCCAUCUUCUUCUAAUGCUAGUGCUUCUACGUCCAGUAGUCGGUUCGGAGGAUGGCUUUUCAACGACAGGACAUCAAGCUAAUUAUGUCUUUUAUACGAGCACUCAACCUUCUUUCAGUGGACGCAUAUUGAGAUUAUUAUUCCUUUCUUUUGUCUUAGGUGUUCAGCGCACCGGUUCAGAAGGUGACGUCCCAAUAAUAAACUUCUUCGUUUGAAGUGCCAAUUAAAUGUUUAUCAAAAUCAGGAUUGUACACCAUAAGGGUCGGAUCAUUCCCUUUUUAUGGUUCGGAUGUUUUUUUCUCCAAGUUCUUAUCCAUUUCCAAAAAGUAACUAAUACUAUGAUUGAGACAUUGCACUUCCUAUUUGCCAGGAUAGACAUAUUUGGAUUACUCGUCUUGACUCUUGA